rnacentral:rRNA from 1 species
AGGACGAACGCUGGCGGCGUGCUUAACACAUGCAAGUCGAGCGGAAAGGCCCUUCGGGGUACUCGAGCGGCGAACGGGUGAGUAACACGUGAGUAAUCUGCCUCUAGCUCUGGGAUAGCUCCGGGAAACCGGGAUUAAUACCGGAUACGACCACUUUAGACAUCUGUUGUGGUGGAAAGAAUUUUGGCUAGGGAUGAGCUCGCGGCCUAUCAGCUUGUUGGUGGGGUAACGGCCUACCAAGGCGACGACGGGUAGCCGGCCUGAGAGGGCGACCGGCCACACUGGGACUGAGACACGGCCCAGACUCCUACGGGAGGCAGCAGUGGGGAAUAUUGCGCAAUGGGCGAAAGCCUGACGCAGCGACGCCGCGUGGGGGAUGAAGGCCUUCGGGUUGCAAACCCCUUUCAGCAGGGACGAAGCGAAAGUGACGGUACCUGCAGAAGAAGCGCCGGCUAACUACGUGCCAGCAGCCGC